UAAGGUUAACAUUGAGGCAUAUAUGAAAACAUGUGAUUACUAAACAACCUAUGUACAUGGUCUAGAGCUCAUUACUGCAUAGCUAGCAUGUCAUUAUCACAUAAUAGACCAUACAUAGACAUUUUAUCAAAUAGUUUGAGUGCAUCCCUUGUGCAUACAAAUAUAUACUCCCCCUUAUGGCUCCCGGACCCUACCUGGUCCCCAAACAUAACACCACAAUAUCACAGCCCCAACCAAACAUGCUUAAACUAUACAAAAAAAAUUGACAACUUGAAUAGAAAGGAAAGGAACUGCAAUUAUUUACCUCGAUUAAGCUUGAGAUUGUGAGUAACUUUAAUUACUCUACAAGUGGAAUGAUGCUGCUACUUGCUGCUCUAACUCCUUUCUAAUUCCCUGCUGGAGCCUCCUCUCUCACUCUAUAUGGCUGUAGCCCUUGCCUUAACUUAAUUGUAGUGAAAAUGACCAACUGUUUUGGGGGGUGGAAGAACUAGCUAUAUGGCUGAGCUCUCCCUCCUCCAGGUCAUUCCUUUGGCCCUUACUUGGCUCCUGAAUUUUCCCUCUACUCAGCCCCUAUAAGACCUCCCCAUAACCUCAGUUUAGCAGCCUAACAUAGCCCAUACUGAGUGGUCUUGUCCUAGUCACCCUGCUCUA
rnacentral:lncRNA from 1 species